AUUGAACGCUGGCGGCAGGCCUAACACAUGCCAGUCGAGCGGAUGAAGGGAGCUUGCUCCUGGAUUCAGCGGCGGACGGGUGAGUAAUGCCUAGGAAUCUGCCUAGUAGUGGGGGAUAACGUCCGGAAACGGGCGCUAAUACCGCAUACGUCCUGAGGGAGAAAGUGGGGGAUCUUCGGACCUCACGCUAUCAGAUGAGCCUAGGUCGGAUUAGCUAGUUGGUGGGGUAAAGGCCUACCAAGGCGACGAUCCGUAACUGGUCUGAGAGGAUGAUCAGUCACACUGGAACUGAGACACGGUCCAGACUCCUACGGGAGGCAGCAGUGGGGAAUAUUGGACAAUGGGCGAAAGCCUGAUCCAGCCAUGCCGCGUGUGUGAAGAAGGUCUUCGGAUUGUAAAGCACUUUAAGUUGGGAGGAAGGGCAGUAAGUUAAUACCUUGCUGUUUUGACGUUACCAACAGAAUAAGCACCGGCUAACUUCGUG
rnacentral:rRNA from 1 species